CUUGCUAAUGGUGCUACAUCAACAUGCUAACUGAUACAUCAACAUGCUAACUGAUACAUCAAUGUGCUAAUGGUGCUACAUCAACAUGCUAACUGAUACAUCAACAUGCUAAUGGUGCUACAUCAACAUGCUAACUGAUACAUCAACAUGCUAAUGGUGCUACAUUAACAUGCUAACUGAUACAUCAACAUGCUAACUGAUACAUCAACAUGCUAAUGGUGCUACAUUAACAUGCUAACUGAUACAUCAACAUGCUAACUGAUACAUCAAUGUGCUAAUGGUGCUACAACCACAUGCUAACUGCUACAUGCACAUGAUAACUGAUACAUCAACAUGCUAACUGAUACAUCAACAUGCUAAUGGUACUACAUCAACAUGCUAACUGAUACAUCAACAUGCUAAUGUUGCUACAUUAACAUGCUAAAUGAUGCAUCAACAUGCUAACAGAUAUAUCAAAAUGCUAAUGAUGCUACAUCCACAUGCUAACUCAUACAUUACCUUGCUAACUGAGACAUCAACAUGCUAACUGAUACAUCAACAUGCUAAUGGUGCUACAUUAACAUGCUAACUGAUACAUCAACAUGCUAACUGAUACAUCAACAUGCUAAUGGUGCUACAUUAACAUGCUAACUGAUACAUCAACAUGCUAACUGAUACAUCAAUGUGCUAAUGGUGCUACAACCACAUGCUAACUGCUACAUGCACAUGAUAACUGAUACAUCAACAUGCUAACUGAUACAUCAACAUGCUAAUGGUACUACAUCAACAUGCUAACUGAUACAUCAACAUGCUAAUGUUGCUACAUUAACAUGCUAAAUGAUGCAUCAACAUGCUAACAGAUAUAUCAAAAUGCUAAUGAUGCUACAUCCACAUGCUAACUCAUACAUUACCUUGCUAACUGAGACAUCAACAUGCUAACUGAUACAUCAACAUGCUAACUGAGACAUCCACAUGCAAACUGAUAUAUCAACAUGCUAACUGAGACAUCAACAUGCUAACUGAUACAUUCACAUGCUAACUGAUAUAUCCACAUGCUAACUGAUACAUUAACAUGCUAAUUGAUACAUCCACAUGCUAACUGAUAUAUCAACAUGCUAACUGAUACAUCCACAUGCUAACUGAUAUAUCAACAUGCUAACUGAGACAUCACCAUGCUAACUGAUACAUUCACAUGCUAACUGAGACAUUCACAUGCUAACUGAUACAUUAACAUGCUGAGACAUCCAAAUGCAAACUUUUGCAUUAACAUGCUAACGGUGCUACAUCAACAUGCCAACUGCUACAUCAACAUGCUAACAGAUACAAAACCUGAACAUGACAACCUAAGGAAACAGUUAGCAUCCAUGCUAAGAUUAUAUUUUAACGAAAGGACAUCUGAACACAGCUGUACAUGUCAUGAUUUAUUUUCUUUCUAAUUGUCUCCACUUUUCAUUCAUCAGAAAUGCUUUUUCUGGAAUAUCUUGAACAUUCCAGCCUCACUGUGUUGCUGACAGGAAGUAUACUAGAAGUUCUGAAUAAAUGUCAGCAUGAAUGUUUUCCAGUUUCUGCCCUCUGAGUGUGAUCCAGGCUUCUUCUUCUGCUCAGAUGCAGACUGAAUGCCAGCCGAUCCAGAGAUUUAUUAUCACUUCCUGGACAGUAGCUGCUUGGUGCAAACACUCGGCGUCACCAUGGCAACAGGUUGAGUGUAACUCUGUGCUGUCGGAGCUUCGUUCUGAGCCAUCGACUGGCCGUUUGCCCCAAAGGCAGCCGUCGCUCCGCUGACCUCCUUCCUGAGCCAAGAUGGCCACCGUCCAGUGAAUCAGUGGAGUCACAUGCUGCUGUCAAGAAGUUUAAUCACAAGUUCCUCGUUUGUGGAAGAUGGUUUAUUAUUAUCAGACUUUCAUUAUUUGGAUAAACGCACAUCAUAUCAGCAGACUGCAUUAAUUACACACUAAAUAAAUAACAAUGUGCUGCAUAACAGGAAGUCUUUUCUGUUAUCAGGAAGUGGAUUUCAGGUGUAAUAUUCCAUCAUCAUGUAGGUCAGUGUGUUAUCUCAGGCAUCAGUGCUGCUGCAUCAGAUUCUGUUCUGUUUAUUUAUUCAUUGUUUGAAACCCAAAACUAAGCGCUGGUAAAUAUUUUGGGCUGAAUUUUGAGACUUUUAUCUGUUUUUAGACCUGAGAAUUUUUUACAUUUUCACCUUAAAAACACCCGUGAAGCCAUUUUAAUGGCUCAGUAUCUCCAGAAACCAAACUUAUAAUGUUGAAGAGAUUCUAACAUCAGAGACUGAGAAGAAGUUCUCAUGGAGGUCUAGAUGUUCAUGGAGGUCUAGAUGUUCAUGGAGGUCUAGGUGUUCAUAGAGGUCUAGAUGUUCAUAGAGGUCUAGAUGUUCAUAGAGGUCUAGGUGUUCAUAGAGGUCUCGGUGUUCAUAGAGGUCUAGAUGUUCAUAGAGGUCUAGGUGUUCAUAGAGGUCUCGGUGUUCAUAGAGGUCUAGAUGUUCAUAGAGGUCUAGGUGUUCAUGGAGGUCUAGAUGUUCAUAGAGGUCUAGGUGUUCAUGGAGGUCUAGGUGUUCAUAGAGGUCUAGAUGUUCAUAGAGGUCUAGAUGUUCAUAGAGGUCUAGAUGUUCAUAGAGGUCUAGGUGUUCAUGGAGGUCUAGAUGUUCAUAGAGGUCUAGGUGUUCGUGGAGGUCUAGGUGUUCAUAGAGGUCUAGAUGUUCAUAGAGGUCUAGGUGUUCAUAGAGGUCGAGGUGUUCAUGGAGGUCUAGGUGUUCAUAGAGGUCUAGAUGUUCAUAGAGGUCUAGAUGUUCAUAGAGGUCUAGGUGUUCAUGGAGGUCUAGAUGUUCAUAGAGGUCUCGGUGUUCAUGGAGGUCUAGGUGUUCAUAGAGGUCUAGAUGUUCAUAGAGGUCUAGGUGUUCAUAGAGGUCUAGGUGUUCAUAGAGGUCUAGGUGUUCAUAGAGGUCUAGAUGUUCAUAGAGGUCUAGAUGUUCAUAGAGGUCUAGGUGUUCAUGGAGGUCUAGGUGUUCAUAGAGGUCUAGAUGUUCAUGGAGGUCUAGAUGUUGGUGGUAGAUGUUCAGAGCCUCUUCGUGUUGAUUACAGAUAUUUUAAAAUAAUUCAACACGUCAUGAUAAAUGUAAUUUUUAUUGAAACAUCUUGACAAGAAAAUAAUUCAAAAUACUGAACGUUCCUCAGUGGAUUCACACUUCAUUCAGUCGCUGAAAGGACAUUUUAAAAAGUUAUUUCUAACAAUAAAUUGCAAUAACAAACAAUCCCCUUUUCUGUAUCUGCUGCUAAAAGUUCACAUUUCUGAUCUGACAUCAGCAGACGGUGAAAUCAGAGCGACUAAAUCUAAACUCUGAACUUUAGCUCUGAUUGUCAGACGUCACAGCUGAACAUCGCAAACCUGAAACCUGCACCAAACCACCUGAUUUUACUCAACUUCUUCUGUUGCCGUCGUUACAGGAAAAGAGCACCAGUUUCGUCAUAACAACACAUUUUAUCGCAUAGAGUACUUGAAGACGAUUUACUCAGAAGGAUGAAGAAAUAAACAUAUGGUGGAAAUCAGAAGGCAGGAAAAUGACGGGUGACGAGCAGAAAAACAGGCGGUGCCUGAAGAAAUGAGUGCUAUUUCUACAUCGUUUGGUGAUUUCAGGCUGAUUUUCUCUGAGGGUUUGUUCUUCGCUCUGCUGGUAAUUUCUCUCCUUUCUGUUCUCCGGUUUGUUUGUCUCUUAUGUGACUGAACCUGAAUGACAUUACUGAUGACCUCAAUAAUCAGCUGCUGAUGGAAAACAAGAUGUGGUGCUUCUUGUUGUUUUUGUUUUUAUCACUCAGACAGAAUCUUUCACACGUGAAUCUGUUUAUUGUUUAUCUCCAUCAUCUUAUUCUCUGUUUUCUCUGCUUUAACCACGCAGACCAUGAAUCGUCUUAUUUCUGUAAACAUCUGCUCAUUUUCCUGCAGAAACAAACCAAAUAUAUUCUUUUAUGUUGAACUCUGAUGUGUUCAAACCUGAAACUCUGAUCACAGAUGAUAAAAGUCUUCAUGGGUUUUCUUUUUGA